GUUGCCGGAAGCAGAAUCUUCACAACGCCACCUUUUCUACGGCGAAGUUUGAUGUAUUUAUGAUUAUACUUGAUCACAGGUGGUCGCUGUGAAGGACCGCAAACCGAUGAAGUUUUAAUAUAAUUCGACCAAAAUGUUUGGUUAUCCAUUCAUAUUAGGCAGUUUCGUCGCGGGAACUAUCCCAGCAACAAAGACAAGAUCUACUUAUCCUGCUCUCCGAUGUAAUCGACAAUAAUCUACAGGUAGUGAAUGCGCAACUUCCUGUUGAUUUGGAUCCCGUGGUUCCAUGCUUCAUGGCUAACGAUAAUAACUCGGGAAUGACCGAGUGUCCUGAAUGCAAUCCCGGAAUCGUAGGAUACGCACGGCUGAUCCCGGGUGAUGGGUAGAAGACGAGAUCAGCCGUGGGUGUCCGACGAUGCGGAACACAUCGCUAUCGUUACUUUUAUAAUAUAUUCAAAUCCUCGACAAACUAGUAAGUCACUGAUAUUCCUCAUACGACAGAUAAUGUACACACAAAAAUAAACGUGGGUUCUGUUUUUACACAAUAAAAUCCCAUCAUUCGCAAUUUUUAUGUAUAUGACUAUCUUUUGACAUUAUCAGAUAUUUGUAUUGUAAUAAAAUGUAAUUAUAA